rnacentral:lncRNA from 1 species
UCAGCUUUAGCACAACAUGGUUCAAGAAAAUAUCAUACACUGAAAAUAAUCUCACUACAAUAGACCGAGAUGUUCAUUCAUUUAUUCACAAACACAGAUCAACAAUAUGUAUAUAGGACUACAACUCUCAACAAACAUUACAAGGUAUUUAUUAUCUACACCAAGAUUAGCUCCCCUAUCUCGAAUAAACCAAGAAACCUUGACUUCAAAGGUUUAUCUCCAGCUCCCAUCUAAGGUAGUUCCUACUUCUCCAGAUCUCAUAGAAUUCCUCCAAUCCUUUCUACCCUUCAAGCUCUCUUAAUCCCCUCUUAGAUCCCUUUUCCCCUUCACUAUAAAACGUAAGCACCAAACAAGAUUCAACACCGCAACCUAAUAACAAAACAAAUCCUAAAUGCCCAAUAAAGUAUUUAACAAAAAGAAUUCGAACUUUCCACCAAUAAAGCACAUGCAGGACGAAAUGUUCAACAAAAACUUCAAAAACAUUCAACUUUACCAAGACAAAACCUAAAUGCCCAAA